rnacentral:misc_RNA from 1 species
UUGGAUAGGAGGAAAGAAAAUAAUAGAAGGAAAAUAAAAGAAUGUAAUGAUUAGGAAGAAAAAUAACUUUUUAAUUUUAUGUUUAGAUUAUGAGGAAAAAUUUUGUGAGGAAAAUUAUUUUUUUAAAGAAAAAAAUCACAAUACUAUUCUUAGAUGUUCAAAAAAAGCUUAAAAAAUAUAAAAAUAUUUUUGUAAUUGCAAACAUUUUCCUCCCACAUUUCCUCCAAUUGGGAGAAAAAAUGAGAGUGGAAUUCAACCAUUAUUUUUCUUUCAAAAUUUUCUUUCCUCCUUAUUUUCUUUUUUAA